rnacentral:rRNA from 1 species
ACCGUACUCCUACGGGAGGCAGCAGUGAGGGAUAUUGCACAAUGGGGGCAACCCUGAUCCAACCAUGCCGCGUGAGUGAAGAAGGCCUUCGGGUUGUAAAGCUCUUUUGUCAGGGAAGAAACGGUAGUAGCUAAUAUCUAUUACUAAUGACGGUACCUGAAGAAUAAGCACCGGCUAACCACGUGCCAGCAGCCGCGGUAAUACGUAGGGUGCAAGCGUUAAUCGGAAUUACUGGGCGUAAAGCGUGCGCAGGCGGUUGUGUAAGUCAGAUGUGAAAUCCCCGGGCUCAACCUGGGAAUUGCAUUUGAGACUGCACGGCUAGAGUGUGUCAGAGGGGGGUAGAAUUCCACGUGUAGCAGUGAAAUGCGUAGAUAUGUGGAGGAAUACCGAUGGCGAAGGCAGCCCCCUGGGAUAACACUGACGCUCAUGCACGAAAGCGUGGGGAGCAAACAGGAUUAGAUACCCUGGUAGUCCUUGAC